rnacentral:rRNA from 1 species
CCUACGGGCGGCAGCAGUGGGGAAUAGUGGACAAUGGGGGCAACCCUGAUCCAGCCAUGCCGCGUGUGUGAAGAAGGCCCUCGGGUUGUAAAGCACUUUCAGUGAGGAAGAACGCCUGGUGGUGAAUACCCAUCAGGAAAGACAUCACUCACAGAAGAAGCACCGGCUAACUCCGUGCCAGCAGCCGCGGUAAUACGGAGGGUGCGAGCGUUAAUCGGAAUUACUGGGCGUAAAGCGCGCGUAGGUGGCUUGAUAAGCCGGUUGUGAAAGCCCCGGGCUCAACCUGGGAACGGCAUCCGGAACUGUCAAGCUAGAGUGCAGGAGAGGAAGGUAGAAUUGCCGGUGUAGCGGUGAAGUGCGUAGAGAUCGGGAGGAAUACCAGUGGCGAAGGCGGUCUUCUGGACUGACACUGCCACUGAGGUGCGAAAGCGUGGGUAGCAAACAGGAUUAGAUACACCAGUAGUC